GGAGGGGAGUGAAAAAGAACCUGAAACCCUGUGCUUACAAGCACUUAGAGCACGUCAAAGUGUGAUAAGGUACCUAUUGUAGAAUGGUCCGGCGAGUUAUUGUAUGCAGCGAGGUUAAGUAGUUCAGCUACGGAGCCGAAGUGAGAGCGAGUGUUAACAGCACGUUCAGUUGCAUGCAAUAGACCCGAAACCGGGUGACCUAUCCAUGUCCAGGAUGAAGUGAGGGUAAAACCUCAUGGAGGUCCGAACCCACUCCCGUUGAAAUGGUAGGGGAUGAGGUGUGGAUAGCGGAGAAAUUCCAAUCGAACCCGGAUAUAGCUGGUUCUCCCCGAAAUAGUUUUAGGACUAGCCUCGUGAUUAAGAUUAUCGGAGGUAAAGCACUGAAUGGCCUAGGGGUCGAGAGAUUACCGAAGCCUAUCAAACUCUGAAUGCCGAAUAAUCAUGCACGGGAGUCAGACUGUGUGAGAUAAGUUUCAUAGUCGAAAGGGAAACAGCCCAGACCUACAGCUAAGGUCCCAAAGUACGUUUAAGUGGAAAACGAUGUGAAAUUGCGUAGACAACUAGGAUGUUGGCUCAGAAGCAGCCAUACAUUAAAAGAGUGCGUAAUAGCUCACUGGUCGAGUGACUUUGCGCGGAAAAUUUAACGGGGCUAAAACGUACACCGAAGCUUAGGCUUGCAACUAUGUUGCAGGGGUAGGGGAGCGUUGAAUGAGGGGUGAAGUCGUGGCGAAAGCGACGGUGGACUUCAUUCAAGUGAGAAUGCCGGAAUGAGUAGCGAGAAUUAUGUGAGAAUCAUAAUGGCCGAAAGCCUAAGGUUUUUGGAGGAAGGUUCGUCCGCUCCAAGUAAGUCGGAAGCUAAGGUGAGGCUGAAAAGCGUAGCCGAUGCACAAACGGUUGAAAUUCCGUUACCACAGAAAGAUUUAAACUAAGGGACACUUUUGAAGAGCUGAUGCCGGGUGUUGGUUACCCCGGUCGUAAGGGAACGAAAUUAAGUAGUGAAGUCAGCGUGGAUGAAGGCGAGAAAAGCUUAGUGUAUAUCUUAUGUGUCCGUACCGCAAACCGACACAGGUAGGUAGGAAGAGAAUUCUAAGGCCAACGGGAGAAGGGUAGUUAAGGAACUCGGCAAAAUGUCCCCGUAACUUCGGAAUAAGGGGAGGUUUCUACGGAAACCCGCAGAGAAUAGUCCCAGGCAACUGUUUAUCAAAAACACAGCUCUAUGCUAAAUCGAAAGAUGACGUAUAUGGGGUGACGCCUGCCCGGUGCCGGAAGGUUAAGAGGAGGAGUGAGAGCCCUGAAUCGAAGCCCCGGUAAACGGCGGCCGUAACUAUAACGGUCCUAAGGUAGCGAAAUUCCUUGUCAGGUAAGUUCUGACCCGCACGAAUGGCGUAAUGAUCUGGGAGCUGUCUCAACUGCCCGCCCGGCGAAAUUGUAGUACCGGUGAAGAUGCCGGUUACCCGCGACUAGACGGAAAGACCCCAUGGAGCUUUACUGUAGCUUAAUAUUGGAUUUCGGUAUUUCAUGUACAGGAUAGGUGGGAGACUAGGAAACAUAGGCGUCAGCUUAUGUGGAGUCGUCCUUGGGAUACCACUCUUGGAGUGCUGAAAUUCUAACCUGCAGCCCUGAAUCGGGUUGGGGGACAUUGUUAGGUGGGCAGUUUGACUGGGGCGGUCGCCU
rnacentral:rRNA from 1 species